rnacentral:rRNA from 1 species
UACAUGGGGUGCAAACGUUGCUCGGAAUUAUUGGGCGUAAAGCGCACGUAGGCGGUUUGUUAAGUCGGAUGUGAAAUCCCUCGGCUCAACUGGAGGAAGUGCAUCCGAAACUGGCAGGCUUGAGUACUAAAGAGGGUCGCGGAAUUCCCGGUGUAGAGGUGAAAUUCGUAGAUAUCGGGAGGAACACCGGUGGCGAAGGCGGGUCUCUGGGCCGUAACUGACGCUGAGGAGCGAAAGCGUGGGGGAGCGAACAGG